GCUGCUGAUUGAAGCAACGGGGGACUGAGCCUGACUGAGUAGUAGGUGGAGCGAGAUCAAGAAAUGCGGAAACAAGACAGAAAUUGAGAAAGUGAAGUGAGGAUUUAUUUGAGAAAUACUUCUCUAUAGAGAGGCAGGCAGAGAGACGAGCAGCUGCCCUGUGUUUCUUUGGCAGGCUUACUCCUCCCACGUCUUUUGGGAUAUGGACCAAAGCAGGAUUCCUAAGGGAGGAAUGUGUGCUCCUCGGAACCCAGGGUGGCCUCGUGCUUUCUUUCUGGUAGAAGAUGUGAGAUGAAGACCUUUGCCUUUGGUCGUGUUUCUUUACCGUUGGACCCUAAAAGUCCCAGAAGCUCUAGGUCCCUGAAUAUUCUUAGGAGUUGUCUCCUACCCUCUGGAGCAUAUGUCUUCCUAAGGCUUCUGUUGUCCUAAACAUCUCUGGCUCAUUUUUCCCAGUAAACAUGAUGGCGUUUGUGUA